rnacentral:RNase_P_RNA from 1 species
ACGUUCGGGUAAUCGCUGCAGAUCUUGAAUCUGUAGAGGAAAGUCCAUGCUCGCACGGUGCUGAGAUGCCCGUAGUGUUCGUGCCUAGCGAAGUCAUAAGCUAGGGCAGCCUUGAUAGGCUGACGGCAGGAAAAAAGCCUACGUCCUUUGGAUAUGGCUGAGUAUCCUUGAAAGUGCCACAGUGACGAAGUCUCACUAGAAAUGGUGAGAGUGGAACGCGGUAAACCCCUCGAGCGAGAAACCCAAAUUUUGGUAGGGGAACCUUCUUAA